ensembl:lncRNA
CUUUUUUCCAUUUUUUUGCAUCCUGAAAGAGAGAUCUUAGUUUGGUAUUUAUAGACUUAUGAGAGGAAAAGCAAACAUUGCCAAGAGAAGAAUGUAUCGGAUUCAUGUUUACACGUCUCCAGUUAUAACGCAUGAUGUCAUCUGUAGACGCGGGACCCGAGCAGCAGUGACGUGUAAGUGUGCGACUGUGAUCUUUUGUGCUGACUCCGAAGGAGCCUGCAGUUUAUUGUGAAGCAGAAAAUAUCUGCGGACACCAUGAAUGGAGCGGAUUAUCUGCAGCAGCACAGCGCCGAGAGUCUGUCCUUCGAAGAGAUGCAGCAGAUUAACCCGCUCGGAGUCCAUCAGCAGCAGAAAGACGAGGGCAGCCAAACCUCCGAAGUUCAGCAGCUGCUGGAGAUGAAAGAGGAUCACCCUGAAUGGAGCCUCGGUCUGGACCAGCAGGACCGAGAGUCUCUGCAGAUAAAGGAGGAACAGGAAGAACUCUGGACCAAUCAGGAGGGAGAGCAGCAUAAUGGAUUGAAGGUGACUGAUGUCACCACUUUCCCAUUCACUAUUGUUACUGUAAAGAGUGAAGAUGAUGAUAAAGAGAAGUCUCAGUCUUUGCAGCUUCAUCAAAGCCAAACUGAAGACAACAGUGAGAUGGAGCCUCUGACCAGCAGCCCAGCUAAACAGGUAAAAACAGAGCCUGAUGAAGAGGACUGUGGAGGACCAGAAUCAGAAGGGAACCUUGAUACACAUAUUUAUUUACAACCAAAAACUGAUGUAAAGGCUUCAGACUCUUCUGAGACUGAAGUGAGUAAUGAUGAUGAUGACUGGAAGGAGCCUGUAUCAGAUUCUGGACCUAAAACCAGACACAGUGAUGAUGUUUGGAAGGUGUGCCGACAGCGCCAACAAGUCUACAGCCAGUCACCAAACAUGAUGCAAAAAAACGUGUCAAGAUUCAGCAUCCCGCCAAUGGAAAGGAGGACUGCACGUAGAUCCAUGAAAGGAAGAGGGAGAUGGCAGAAGUGCCUGCCUGCCAGUUCCAGUUCGGACAUCACUCUUGCAACCUCUCAAUACCAGAAGGACUCGGACGAAAACAGUGACCCCUCGCUGUCACUCAUUGCCAACAUGCCACACACAAUGCUGGAGCCGGGCUCGUCAGCCAGCCUGCACGGACGUGUUGGCCACAGAGUUGUGACCGGGGAGCCAGAGUUGGAGAUAGAGGAUGAAAAGCCAAUGGUGUCGCAUUGGCCCGGGGUCAAGAAGAGGAUCCGGAUGGAGCCAGAGGCGACUCUCUCGCCCGAACAGGAAGACCACCUCGUAGAGUGGUUUGCAGCUCACCCGUUCUUCUACGACCAGACAGCACGCGACUUCAAGGACAAGCGCAGGCGAGAGCAGCUGCUGGAUCAGAAGGCCGAGGAGCUAGGAGUUACCGGGAACUUCCUCUGGGGGUGGUUCCGCAACAUGCGGACCGUCUAUGGUAAACUAAGGAAGAAGAAGAAUGAGCAAGCAACACGACCACUGACAGCCAGGCAGCGGUGGACUUCAGAUAUGUUCAAAUUCUUGGACAAGCACAUGACCAUCCGCAGGAGCAGCCUGGGAAAGCUUCAAGGGGCACAGUCCACCAAUACCGGAGUGGAAGAGGAGGAGGAGGAAGAGGAAGAAGAAGAAGGAGACGAAGAGCCUGCGAGGUCAUCAAGUCGUCCUGGGUCUCCGUCUCCUGUUCCCUCCAGUCAAACCCCAAAGUUAAAGGGCAAGAAGGCCAAGCUCGCCAGCCGCUGCGUCAACAAGGCAGUUCUUCAAAUCCCAAACAGCAUGUCCUCACUGCAGACGGCUAUGAGGUCCCUGCAGGUAGCUAUGGAGUCCCUGCAGGCGGCCGUUGGGGGGUUGAGCAACAACCGAGUCAUGUACUGUCAAUACCUGAGCACCGAGGUGGGCAUGCUCACAGAGGAACAGUGGUCAAUGUUUCAGCAGGAGACUAUGGGGAUGCUUAUUCGUUUCCGUACUGCCCGUCAGCAGCGGCAGCAGUCCGCAGUUCCAGUCCUCCUCCCUCCGGGCUCCAUGGAGUCGAUUCCAGGCCCGAGCAGCACUCUGCUCAGUAGUUCCUAUUUCCAGUCCCGGCCAGCACCGCCCCAGUAGCCUCUGUCCCAGCAAAUUAAUUUUUUUAUUGAAUUUGUGAACUAUUUCACAAUUUAUUUACUGAUCAUAGUUGAGUGUUUAUGUUAAUAAACAAUCAUGUUUCACUGGUACUUACUUCUUGAUUCCUUGUAUCACAGUAGUAAAACUUGUGCCUUACAGCUGCAAGACAUUUUAAUUGGCGCAAAUUUUACUUUGAGGCGGAGAGUCUCAGUUUCUUGUCGGUGUUAUGUGUAAACUUGAAAAAUAGAAAAAGCAGAUGUUUCUCAUUAUAUUGUACUUUAUACAUGGACCAUUGUGACCUUUAAAUUCUUAUAUUCUAAAUUUGAAAUUAAAAUUUCAAUUUCUUUUCAUGUGAGUGAACUAUCUUGUAUUUUGUAUUUAUUACACUGGGAUAUAGGGAUACCAAAAAAGCUAAAAAUAAUUGCCUUAUUCAUUCAAAUCUCUCCACAGCCACAAGUUAGCCUACCAGGUUAGAGCUCCAGC